rnacentral:rRNA from 1 species
UGCCAGCCGCCGCGGUAAUACGGAGGGUGCAAGCAUUAAUCGGAUUUAUUGGGCGUAAAGAGCGCGUAGGCGGUGUUGUAAGUCAGAUGUGAAAUCCCAGAGCUCAACUCUGGAACUGCAUUUGAAACUACAGCACUAGAGGAUAGGCGGAGAAAACGGAAUUCCACAUGUAGCGGUGAAAUGCGUAGAUAUGUGGAGGAACACCGGUGGCGAAGGCGGUUUUCUAGCUUAUUCCUGACGCUGAGGCGCGAAAGCAAGGGGAGCAAACAGGAUUAGAUA